rnacentral:lncRNA from 1 species
CAGCUCUCUCUCUCUCUCUCUCUCUCUCUCUCUCUCUGUCUGUCUCUCUUCUGUAAAGUUCCCUCCACAUAAAGUCAGGGAACCUGUGAAGUUAGACGUGUGCAACAGGCCAGAGAGGGUCUGUGCUGCUAAUUUUAGGGAGGGCACAGUGCACUCCAACUAUGCGUCUGCGCUGGGGACAAAGCUCUGGAGAACGGGGCAGCCCGAGCUCCUCACAUGCCUCCCGUCCAUACUCGCCUUAUCAGAGAGCGCAGGCUUUCUGGGGUUCCGCCCCUCUUCAAGUACUCAAACUCCCAAGAGGCGCAGAAGUCCCACAGUGAGAGCCGAACCAGGCCACCUCUCUUCUCAUCUCUGCUUGGGGCCAGCUGCUGACCCUCUGUGGCCACGCCGUCACGUCGUGAAGCCCCUUUCACGCACCGGCGAAUCCCUUUUCCCAUCAACUCCCUGGAGGGGCCACACCGCCACCGAUCGUUAUGCGGAAUGAGCCCAUCACCCCGAAACGGGCCCAUCCCCUCAUUACUCGAUCCCGCGCCCCUUGAUCCUGAGCCAUCGCCCCCCACAGCGGAUCGGUUGCCGUUUCUCUCGUUUUGCAGAUGGAAUCACAGGGUGCGCGGGCUCCGCGGUUCUUCGUGUGCAUUUAGCGCCAUCCCACGGGGACGCAUCCCUACAGCUCGGGCAUAACAGCGCUUUCCUGUCACUUAUCUAAUGAUUUUCCACUGUAUCGCGAACACAGAUUCGUCCCCGUCGGACCAGUGCAGGCCGGCUCUGGUUCACUUUGAUUCCACCUCAUUUCCCACCACCAUAAACUUGCUUCCUGGAAAACAAGACGUUCUGGUCUCGUGCUUAUGUGUGCGUGUGCGAGGCCAAUCCACACUGUGACUUAAACCUUUCCACGCGCGCAGUCCAGGGGCGUUUAGUUCAUUCACAGUGGUGAGCAAACACCACCUCCCUGUCACCCUGAAAUACUUUCAUCAGGCCAAAGGGAAAACUCGCAUGGUCUCUCAGUUCUGCCAACCUGCCAACCGGAAACCAGCCUCCUCCUCCCACACACAGGGUCCCAAGCAAGGGCUCCCUCAGGGUCUGGGCUCCUACAGGGUGAGGACAGAUCCACG